rnacentral:rRNA from 1 species
UACGAAGGGGGCUAGCGUUGCUCGGAAUUACUGGGCGUAAAGCGUGCGUAGGUGGUUCGUUAAGUCUGUCGUGAAAGCCCCGGGCUCAACCUGGGAAUGGCGAUGGAUACUGGCGAGCUAGAGUGCGGUAGAGGAGAGUGGAAUUCCCGGUGUAGCAGUGAAAUGCGUAGAGAUCGGGAGGAACAUCAGUUGCGAAGGCGGCUCUCUGGACCAGCACUGACACUGAGGCACGAAAGCGUGGGGAGCAAACAGG